CGGAGGCUUAACCGUCUGAGCCACCCAGGCGCCCCAAGAACAGAUACUACUACUAAGCCCUCAAGAAGAGCAGUACCCAGGAAGUGGUUGUCUUGAAGGAGUCCCCACUUUCUUACCUGCCAUGCUGACUACCUUCUGGGAAUAAGGUCUUCUGAAACAGGACCGAGUUCAGAACGAGAAAUGAAAAGAAGACCCGCCACGUGUAUUUGUCCAUCAGGCCACUAUUAGAGUCCUAUUUCCAAGGGAGACAAAUUUACUUCUGGCACCUGAAGUUGCUUAUCUGGUUCCUUAGAGCUGCAGCAUUGAAUUCACUCCCAGACAAUGACAAGAGUUCCACAAACAAUGCCAGUCCGUGGAACCUAAUAUGCAAGAGAGGAUUUGGGUGGUUCAAGGUGAAAUUAAAUCACCUGCAUGGUUGGUUACUUUGACCUUCUUCACAUUGGAGGCUCUCCUUGUGUGUUUGAGGAUCCUCGGUUGUUCAGUAGUCAAAGCCCUAAAAGGCUGAUUGGAAGCUCUAAGAUUUGUGAUGGUUCCUCAGAAGGACCUAACCUUGUGGACGCCUUGCUCUUGAACUUCUAGCCACAAGGACUGUGAGAGAUAAGCCCACCAACUGGUGGUACUUUGUGUGUCAUCCCUAGAAAAUGAAUACAACGGCCGUGCAUUACAAUGUCUGUGUUAUAUUAAAUGCAUGCAUUACAAUAUGUUUUUUCGCAUUAGAAGGGGAAGGUUUCACAUGUAGUCAUUCUACCAACUUAACCAGAAGUCUGUUGCGUGACCUGGUUUACUUUCUGUUUGCCUAUUCUGUACUCUUUUGGGCCCAGGGCUUUUGUUAAAUUCUCCUUCGUAGCUACAGUGCCUGGUCUCUAGAAAUUGUUCAAUAAAUUUUUUUGUUUUUUUUAAUGUUUAUCUAUUUUUGAGAG